rnacentral:rRNA from 1 species
CUACGGGAGGCAGCAGUGGGGAAUUUUGGACAAUGGGGGAAACCCUGAUCCAGCCAUGCCGCGUGUGUGAAGAAGGCCUUCGGGUUGUAAAGCACUUUCGGACGGAACGAAAUCGCGCGAGUGAACAUCUCGCGUGGAUGACGGUACCGUAAGAAGAAGCACCGGCUAACUACGUGCCAGCAGCCGCGGUAAUACGUAGGGUGCGAGCGUUAAUCGGAAUUACUGGGCGUAAAGCGUGCGCAGGCGGCGUCGCAAGUCAGGCGUGAAAUCCCCGAGCUCAACUUGGGAAUUGCGCUUGAAACUACGGCGCUAGAGUGUGGCAGAGGGAGGUGGAAUUCCACGUGUAGCGGUGAAAUGCGUAGAUAUGUGGAGGAACACCGAUGGCGAAGGCAGCCUCCUGGGCCAACACUGACGCUCAUGCACGAAAGCGUGGGGAGCAAACAGGAUUAGAUACCCCGGUAGUCC